rnacentral:rRNA from 1 species
GACGAACGCUGGCGGUGUGCUUAACACAUGCAAGUCGAACGGUAAGGCCCUUUCGGGGGUACACGAGUGGCGAACGGGUGCGUAACACGUGAGUAACCUGCCCUCAUCUCUGGGAUAACAGUCGGAAACGGUUGCUAAUACUGGAUAUGAGCUUGCAAGGCAUCUUGUGGGUUGGAAAGAUUUUUUUUGGUUGGGGAUGGACUCGCGGCCUAUCAGCUUGUUGGUGAGGUAGUGGCUCACCAAGGCUUCGACGGGUAGCCGGCCUGAGAGGGCGACCGGCCACAUUGGGACUGAGAUACGGCCCAAACUCCUACGGGAGGCAGCAGUGGGGAAUAUUGCACAAUGGACGGAAGUCUGAUGCAGCAACGCCGCGUGCGGGAUGACGGCCUUCGGGUUGUAAACCGCUUUCAAUUGUGAAGAAGCUUUUUUGUGACGGUAGCAGUAGAAGAAGCACCGGCUAACUACGUG